AGAUGAGGGCUCGGCAUUGGUAUCGCUGCUUUGUCCGAGGGAGCUCAACCCCACUGUGAAGUCGCCACAGCCGCCGGCGAGGAAUAGCCCAGCGUGAUGGAUGGGAUGCUAAGCUUAACUUCCCUUGUCACGUCGACCCCUGACCACCUCGCCGGUGACUGCUUUCAUGACUGUAAGACUCAGGCAGAAGCCCUCUAUGUACUGCCUGCUCCAUCAUCGCACUGUUGCUGCCUGUGGCUUUUACAACUCCAAGGUGCUCCAUCUCACCCCUGCCGCAGUUUCCCAAAAGUCCUUUAUUUUCUCUUCUCAAAGGAAACCGGCCCCCAGGUGGGCUGAUCCAAAGCUCUCCGAGCUUCUGUUCAUCUGCGCUUUGGAGUUGGGUGGCUUAGGGAUUGCUGAAUCCAGACUGAGCUCCCUUGCUGGAUGGGAUCAAAAUCAAUGAUCAAGUUCAUUUUCCAUCCCCUCAAAAGCACUUUUUUCUCCCCCAUCAAUUAUCCGAAUUGAUUGCCCUCCUGUUCCCCAAAUCCCUGCGAAAUUAAAGCAGACUCUACCUGAA